AAUAAAGCCUACCACUGUGUCAACUGGCAAAUAAAUCUUCCAAAGUCCAUGUUCAGUAUUAAGAAAAGAAGGAUUGAAGGGUUUAAACACAGGGCCUUGGGUAUGCAAAGAACAUACUUUAACACUAAACUCCAUCUUGCAGAUAUAUUUUAUUUUCUAUUCCAAUUAGGUAUAUAUGACAGCAGAAUGCAUUUUGAUUCAUUGUACACAAAUGGAGCACAACUUUUAUUUCUUUGGUUAUACUCAAUGUAGAGUCGCACCAUAUGUGCAGUUAUACAUGUACCUAGAGUAAUGAUAUCCAUCUCAUUCCACCAUCUUUCCUGCACCCAUGCCACCUCACCUCUCCAGUCCCCUUUUUCCCUGAGAUACAACAAUCUGAAUUUAUGAGUCUAAUAACAUAACUUUAAAUAUAUAAAACAUAAAAUUAUCAACAAAAAAUAGAAAUUGGUAAACCCAGACUGAAAGUGGAGAUUUUAACUCUUAGACUGGAUAAAACGAAAGUAUAAAUACAUAUUUGAAAGCCAUAACUAGCAAAAUUGAUAAAAUAAACUUAACUGUAUCCAAAAUUGAUAUGUAUUCUUCUCUAGCAUACACACACAUAAAAAACGCAUAAUAUACUGGGAACUAAGGCUAAUCUCUACAGAUUUUGAACAAAAAUUUAUACAGAACAUGUUCUUUGUCUACAAUGUAAUUAGAAAUCUGUGUUUUGCAUGCCUGAGUUCUUGUGUUUGAGUCUCACCAGCACGAUAAGGAGCUAGAGAAAGAGAAAAGGAAGGGGAAAUUAAUAUACUUUUUGAUGAAUUAAAUGUGAAAUGUUCUCCUUGAUGAAUUAAAUGUGAAAUGUUCUCUUUGCCUGCAGAUCUAUUUUAUUUUCUGUUAAUCUACCUAUGCUAGCUUUUCUUCUUUUUUUCUCCUCCUCUUUUUUCUUUUUUGUAUGAGGGUCAAACCCAGGGCCUCAUGCAUGCUAGGUAAGUAUUCUACCACUGAACUAAAUUCCCACUCCCAUACUAGCUUUAUUUUGAUUAGUAUUUAUAUAGUCUAUUUUUUUCUUGUAUUUUUUUAAAAUUUAAAUUCGUUUUGGAGUUGUAGAUGGACAGCUUGCCUUUAUGUAUUUUUAUGUGGUGCUGAGGAUUGAA
rnacentral:lncRNA from 1 species